rnacentral:rRNA from 1 species
CAGUUUGGUUUGCUUGCAAACCAAAGCUGGCGACCGGCGCACGGGUGAGUAACACGUAUCCAACCUGCCUCAUAGUCGGGGAUAGCCUUUCGAAAGAAAGAUUAAUAUCCGAUAGCAUAUAUUUCCCGCAUGGGUUUUAUAUUAAAGAAAUUCGGUAUGAGAUGGGGAUGCGUUCCAUUAGUUUGUUGGGGGGGUAACGGCCCACCAAGACUACGAUGGAUAGGGGUUCUGAGAGGAAGGUCCCCCACAUUGGAACUGAGACACGGUCCAAACUCCUACGGGAGGCAGCAGUGAGGAAUAUUGGUCAAUGGACGCGAGUGGGAACCAGCCAAGUAGCGGGAAGGAUGACUGCCCUAUGGGUGGUAAACGUAUUAUAUAUGGGAAUAAAGUUGUCCACGUG